rnacentral:rRNA from 1 species
UGUGGAUGAGUGGCGAACGGGUGAGUAAUACGUGAGUAACCUGCCCUUGACUCUGGGAUAAGCCCGGGAAACUGGGUCUAAUACUGGAUGCUACAUGUCACCGCAUGGUGGUGUGUGGAAAGGGUUUACUGGUCUUGGAUGGGCUCACGGCCUAUCAGCUUGUUGGUGAGGUAAUGGCUCACCAAGGCGACGACGGGUAGCCGGCCUGAGAGGGUGACCGGCCACACUGGGACUGAGACACGGCCCAGACUCCUACGGGAGGCAGCAGUGGGGAAUAUUGCACAAUGGGCGAAAGCCUGAUGCAGCGACGCCGCGUGAGGGAUGACGGCCUUCGGGUUGUAAACCUCUUUCAGCAGGGAAGAAGCCACAAGUGACGGUACCUGCAGAAGAAGCGCCGGCUAACUACGUGCCAGCAGCCGCGGUAAUACGUAGGGCGCAAGCGUUGUCCGGAAUUAUUGGGCGUAAAGAGCUCGUAGGCGGUUUGUCGCGUCUGCUGUGAAAGCCCGGGGCUUAACCCCGGGUGUGCAGUGGGUACGGGCAGACUAGAGUGCAGUAGGGGAGACUGGAAUUCCUGGUGUAGCGGUGGAAUGCGCAGAUAUCAGGAGGAACACCGAUGGCGAAGGCAGGUCUCUGGGCUGUUACUGACGCUGAGGAGCGAAAGCAUGGGGAGCGAACAGGAUUAGAUACCCUGGUAGUCCAUGCCGUAAACGUUGGGCACUAGGUGUGGGGG